UACGGGGGGGGCAAGCGUUGUUCGGAAUUACUGGGCGUAAAGGGCUCGUAGGCGGCCAACUAAGUCAGGCGUGAAAGCCCCGGGCUCAACCUGGGAACCGCGCUUGAGACUGGCACGCUCGAGUUCGGGAGAGGAUGGUGGAAUUCCCAGUGUAGAGGUGAAAUUCGUAGAUAUUGGGAAGAACACCGAUGGCGAAGGCAGCCAUCUGGACCGACACUGACGCUGAGGCGCGAAAGCGUGGGGAGCAAACAGG
rnacentral:rRNA from 1 species